CUGCAGACUCGAUCACUGGCUCUGCAUUAUGUGGCAGAAGCAAGGGGAACAGGUUUGCUAAAUUAAAUAUGACAGAAGCAUUUGGCCUUAGAAAUAAUUCUAAGGUUGUUUAUUCUAUACAUACUAUAACA